CAUCCCCGGUCGGGUCCAGGCACCGCCUUCCCCCUCCCUCCUGCUCGUCGUCGCUUCUCUCUCCGAGCCUGCGCGUAGCUGGGUUUUAUUUUGUUCCCCCCCCCUUCCCCUCGGUGCGUCUUGGCCUCCCCACCAUUUUGUGCCGUGAUCGCAAGGUUAGCUGCCUGAUCGUGCCGCGUUCUUCCCGUGCGUCCGGGUUUGAGGCGGAAUACCGAAGGGGCCUUGAUGGCGGAGAGUCAAUCAGCGGCCGGGCUGGGGGACUUCACAUCCCUUGGUGGAGCCGCGGCUCUCGGCUUAGAACCCGAAACGCGGCGGCUGAGCGAGCUGCGAGUCAUCGACCUGCGGGCCGAGCUCAAACGCCGUAACUUAGACAGCGGCGGCAACAAGAGCGUUCUGAUGGAGCGGCUGAGGAAGGCCAUUGAGGAUGAAGGAGGAGAUCCCGAUGAAAUUCCUGUGGCCUCAGAACUGACCAACAAGAGAACACCAAAAAGAACAGGCAAAGGAAGGAAACCAGAAGAAGAAGGUAUUGAAGACAAUGGACUAGAAGAAAACUCUAGGGAUGGACAAGAGGAUAUUGAGGCAAGUCUGGAUACCUUGCAAGAUAUUGACAUGAUGGAUAUUAGUGUUUUAGAUGAAGCUGAAAUAGACAACGGCAGUGCUGUAGACUGUGGAGAAGACUAUAGUCCAGAUAAUAUUCUCGACUCUCUAUCUGAUAAUAAAGACAGUGUUGAAGCAGAAAUGAAAGAACUUCCAGAUCAGCUAACAGAAAAUGAGGAAGAUUAUGAUGAAAUUGAAAACAGUUUAGAUGCCUCUUCUUCUGAUUUAAUUGAAAUGAAGAAAAUGGAGAAGCUACACUUGGAUCCAGAAAAUGAGAAAAUACUCGACAUUUUGGGGGAAACUUGUAAAUCUGAAGUACUUAACGAAGAAACUUCCGAAGCGGAGCGGCCGCAUGCACAGGAAGCAAGUAACGUGGUGCCAGGCAAGAGGCUGGCGGAGGAAGAGGACGCUCUUGCUGCCGCUCAGUUGGAGGAAGAGGCUUUAGAUUUGGACAGCAAAUCGGCACAAGCUAUGGCAAGGAAGGAAGCAAAGCGUUUAGUUGUAGCAAAAGGAGGGGAGACAAGUGAACAGACAAUAGAGGAAGAGAAGCCGGACUCUGACUCUUUAGUAGUAGAGAGCCCAAGCGAUCAGAGUAGCAAACGCUCCCAAGGCCUGGAAGCCUCUAGUGGGGAACCGGCGGAAAAAGGCGCGGGUCCCGAAGGCCAAGAUAGCAAAGAAGAUGGCAAGCAAACAGAAGACAAAGCUAAUUCAGAGGAAUCCCCUGCCACUAAAGAGUCCUCAGCCAGUGAGGGCGCUGAUCAGAAAAAGAGCCCUGUUGAGGAGGACAGAGAUGCAAAGAUAAUCUCAAAGGAUGAGAAAGGUCGCACAGCUAGCGGUUCUGGUAGGAACUUUUGGGUGAGUGGGCUGGCUUCCACUACCAGAGCUACAGAUCUGAAGAAUCUGUUCAGCAAAUAUGGGAAGGUGGUGGGUGCAAAAGUGGUCACCAACGCUCGCAGUCCUGGUGCUCGCUGUUACGGCUUUGUGACAAUGUCUACAGCUGAGGAAGCAACCAAAUGUAUUACUCAUCUCCACAAAACAGAGUUGCAUGGGAAAAUAAUCUCUGUUGAAAAAGCAAAAAAUGAACCUGCUGGGAAGAAGCCGGGGGAAAAAAAAGAGAACGAAGCAAGGAAAGAAACAGCCAGUGAGAGAUCUGGCAGUGCUAAAAGGGAUGAGAAAUCUGACCAAAAAGAUGAUCCUAAAAAGACAGAAGACAAAGAUGAAAAGGAAAAAAAGGAUAAAGAUGAACUGAAGUCUGGUUCAUCAGAUCAAUCUAAAACUAAGUCAGGAAGUAAAGGAUCAGAGAGAACAGUAGUAAUGGAUAAAUCCAAAGGAGAACCCGUUAUCAGCGUGAAAACAUCAACUACAUCAAAAGACAGAAGCAUUAAGAGCCAGGACCGUAAAUCAGAGAGCAGAGAGAGACAAGGCAUUGUGCCCUUUGACAAAAUUAAAGCGCAGCGCAAGCUGAGGGAGGCAGAGCAGCGCCGCACACGCGAGCGGCGGGAGAGACAGCAGCACCUGCAGACUAUCCGGGAACGGGAAGAAAGGGAGAGGCUCGAGAUUGCUCGGGAGAGGCUGGAAAUCGAAAGGCAGCGUCUGGAAAGAGAACGGAUGGAAAGAGAGAGGCUAGAAAGGGAACGAAUGCACAUAGAGCACGAGAGGAGAAGAGAACAGGAUCGCAUCCAGCGGGAGAGGGAAGAGCUGCGGCGUCAGCACGAGCAGCUGCGCUACGAGCAGGAGCGGCGCUCGGCGUUGAGAAGACCGUAUGACAUAGAUGGCAGGAGAGAUGACCCUUACUGGCCAGAGGCAAAACGAAUGGCAAUGAACGACAGGUACCAUUCAGAUUUCAGUCGCCAGGAUCGCUUCCAUGACUUUGAUCACAGAGACCGUGGCCGCUACCAAGACCAUUCAAUAGACAGGAGAGAUGGAUCAAGGACAAUGAUGGGAGAUCGGGAUGGACAACACUACCCAGAUGAACGCCAUGGAGGCCCAGACCGUCACUCACGAGACUCUCGGGAAAGCUGGGGCAGCUAUGGAUCUGACAGAAGAAUGAGUGAAAGCAGAGGGAUCCCCCCCCAGUCACGGGACGGACGUGACUGGGGAGACCACGGCCGGAAGUUUGAAGGGCAUCAGGAUCGCUCCUGGCAGAGCAGUGUGGAUGGAGGAAUGAUGGGACGGGAUCACGAGCGGUGGCAAGGUGGAGGUAGAGGCAGACCUGGCCACGUGAUGCAUCGGGGAGGCAUGUCAGGGCGUGGAGGUUUCAUACAAGGUGGCAACCAAAGUCAGAUGAUGCAUGGAGGAGGAAUGCAAGGAGAAGGAUUUGCUGGCCAAGAGAGAGCAAACAGACCUAAUGACCCUCGUUUUAACCGUCGUUACUGAAUGGGGUUUAAUUUUUAAUGCAAGGUGGCAACUGAAAUGAAUCUGUUCCCCAGGGUUUGCCAUUCAUUGGAACUUACAGGCUACUAUGGGAACACCGACUACAGGCCUCUGACACCGCGGCAGCCGAUGGCUCGGACCAGACACCCACAGUGGCUGUGAGAUCCACCCAGCCUUGAAUGAACCCCGUGGGCGGAAAUAAUGGGACCAACUCAGGUUUGGGGGGUUUCUGGUUUCAUUUGCUUUUUGCCUGGUGCAAAAUGGGCUAUCAAAAACCAAUUUAAAUCCACACAGCACGGGUGAAGACAAAGCUGAAGAGCUGCCUUCUGUUCCCUAAUGCCACAGAAACUCCCAUCUCCCUUUUCUUUUUUCUCCUCCCCUUGUGUAGUCCCAAACAUUAAGGGCUUGAAAAGAUAACAGUUAACUUCACAGGUGGGAUGGGAGCAUCCCAGAAUCCUGCUCAGUGCCACAAUGCUGGCAUGUGUAAACUUUCUAUCCUCCUGUAGGACAUUGACUAGAGACAGCCAGAGUGCUUCACAACUGGUGACAGAAGAGGUAGCCUCUGAGUCAUCAUUACAAAACAUCUGUGAGGUAAAAAGGCAAAAACUGGAAAGGAGGAAUGGAUAUUUCUGUGAAAAGAAGACACAACUACCAAAUGCACUGGGGAUUUUUUAGAGCUACUAAUGCCAGCUCAUUUUAUGAUUGAGGAAUUCCAGAACCAUUUGGAGCAGUGACACCAGGCUGCUAUGGCAGAAUCACUGUGUUCAGAAAGAGAAAAGCUACUGGGGGAGCUGAACAAAAAAACCCAGUUUAGUCUGGCAGUCAAACAUGGGUAUAGGUCAUCUAGAGAGAUGGUGGAAUCUGCAUCCUUUAAGAUGUUCAAAACAUGGCUGGACUUGGUCCUGGGCAACUUGGUUUAACUGACCUUGCUUGAACAUGGAUGCUGAACUAGAUUAUCUUGAAAUGUCCCUUCCAAACCCAACAAUUCUAUGAGUUGCAGCACAGGCACUAUUUUAACAAGCCUGUUUCUGCACUGCCACUGAAGUCUGCUCAGCAAAGGAACCUGCUUUGCACCCUGUCUUACCUACAACUAUUUCUAAAGGUCACAAACUAGACUUGGCAAAACAAUUUGACUGAAAUCCAGCAACUGUAUGAAAGGAAGCAGCCCCUUAGUGAAUGUACACAUUACCAUCGAGAUGUAAUUAGAGAACAGAUGUGCUGGGUCAGAUGAAAGUAUCCUUCCCACUCUCUUCUUUAGAGGCAAGUGUGUAAAGAAAAAUAUGGUGGAACAGGGUGCAUGUAGAGCUGAUAAACUCCCAGUGUCUGGCACUCCAAGUUGUAGCUUCCAUCUGGACCAUUAGGUUUAAGAGUCACUGAUGGACCCAUCCUCCAGGAAUUAACUUAAUCUCUUUUUGAGGCUAUUUAUACCUUUGCCAAAUCCUCUGAAAUCUCUCAGCGUAAAGUUUCAUCACAGAACUAUUUGUUAAAAAAGGAAACAAAACCCCCACAAAUCCUUCUGCCUCCUUGUGUUUUAAAUCUGCUUCCUAAUCUGAGUAAGCACUCAUCCUACUCUCCCAACCUACCCCUGCCUAGUUCCUAGUGCCUCUUGGCUCAUUCUGUAACUAGCACAGACUACAACUCCCAUCAGUGUGGGAGAAACUUGCAACACAGACUUCAAAAAUUGCCUUCUACUGCACACUCUCAUCAAGUAUUGCAACCCCAACUGGCUACUCCCAGCUGUGUGACAAGUCUCAGGGCACCUGGAAGCAGCUUUCACAUCAAUAAUGUGCUCUUUGUCUGACAGAGGCACUCCUAGUGAUAGUUGGCAGGUAAUUGCUUUGCCUCUGCAAAACAUCUACUGUUACCUUGGGUUUUUGUAUUAAACUGUUGGCUUGUUUGGAAUUAGAUGGGAUUCUCCUUCAAGGUUAAUGCAGCUUCAGAAUCAUCUGUUUAAUUAGCAAGCUUAUCACAGAAUCAUUUUGGUUGGCAAAGCCCUUGAAGCUGCUCCCAGCCCUCCCCUCACCCUGCCCAGCCCAGCACUAACCCCUGGCCCUCAGCACCUCAGCUCCAGGGCUUUGGGAUCCCUCCAGGGCUGGGCACUCCCCCAGCUCCCUGGGCAGCCUGGCACAGGGGCUGACACCCCUCUCAGGGAAACAGUUCUGCCCCAGCUCCAGCCUCAACCUCCCCUGGGGAAACUUGAGGCCGUUUCCUCUUGUCCUGUCACUUGUUACUUGGAACCAGAGCCCAACCCCCAACUCCCUGCAGCCUCCUGUCAGGGAGUGUCAGAGAGUGCUCCUGUCUCCCCUCAGCCUUCUUCAGACUAAACAGCUCCAGGUCCCUCAGCUUGAAGGGCUACACCUCUGCAUACAGCUGAUCUCUCUGAAGCCUCUGAUCACUGCUAAGUCAGAGAGCAGUUACUGCAGCCUGUGUGCUAAAACCAACCCAAAUACAAAUGGAAGUUCCAAAGUCUUUUAUUGUAGCCCUUGCCCGGCUGAGCUGCCCUGUGGAGGGACGGACUAUGCAUCAUCCCACGGACAACACAGGAUGGAGAACCAUCAACCCUGGAGAACAUGUUCAUUUGACAAGAUCCUUCACAUACUUCCAGCCUUCCUCAGUGUAUUCACAGGCCCUGGUGGGAGCUACAGACAAGGCAGACAUGACUGUCUGCACUCCUGCAAGGAAAGCAGAGAAGAAUUACCCCAAGAAGAGCAUCAUUCAAGCCAACUUUCCCACUGUUAUUCUAGCACUGCAGAUCCCUUUACACAUGGAGAGAAAAAUUUAUCUCUAACAGAAGCUUUCAAACAUAACUGAGGCCUGAAUGAUCCUUGGUUCAAGUACAGCUUUAUUGUCUCAGCAGCAUGUGUGACACGAAGGAAUUCCAACUUCAGGACCAGUGUAAGGGACAGACAAUUACAAGACUGAAACAAACAGCUCAGCUAUGUUCCAUUUUAUUUCUGGUUCUGACACAGACUCCAUGGCUGAUGUUGGACAUGCCACAAUGUUUGUGGACUGUGUUUCCUCACUUUUGCACCAUAUAA